UGGAAAAGAAUUCCAUAGUAAUAGUAAUGCUUAUUCCCCGUACUAACGGAAUAACUUUUCCACUUUUCAGUCAGUGGAAUUAUAAUUCCAUUCCACUGCCCCUUUUUUAUUCAUAAGUCACAUAUAGACAAAAAUGGUUCUCUCUUCCACUCUAGCCGAAGAUCUUCCUCACUCAUUUUUGAGAUUUCAUUUUUGAGAUUAGGUCUCUAAGAUUAGUUUAACCGCAUUUUUGGUUCCGCAGUUCGUCGCCAUCGGUGCUAAGCUUUGCCCAUUGCGAAUCAGAGGAAGCAUUGAAGGAUGGACUUUUGGUACCGUACAACUCUCAACACAAUACUUUCCAAAUUGUUGUUUUGGUACCUAGACUAGAGGAAGCUUUAGGUGCUCUAGUCUGGGUUCUAUUUUUUUUUGGGUCCAAUUGUUGUUUUAUUUAUGACAGUAGCUGUUUAGUUUAAACACUGUAACUGGCAUUUUUUGAGGUAUAAUACUAUACUAGUUGCCAUUCCUCAUUCUAAA